CUCCCACCCGUGUCUCUUGAAUACCUCGUUGCUUUGGCGGGCCCACCGGGUAGCCCCGGUCGCCGGGGGGCACUGCGCCCCCGGGCCCGUGCCCGCCAGAGCACCCCUGUGAACCCUAAUGAAGAUGGGCUGUCUGAGUGGGAUGAUUUGUAACCUUUGAAAAAAAAACUUUCAACAAUGGAUCUCUUGGUUCCGGCAUCGAUGAAGAACGCAGCGAAAUGCGAUACGUAAUGUGAAUUGCAGAAUUCCGUGAAUCAUCGAAUCUUUGAACGCACAUUGCGCCCCCUGGCAUUCCGGGGGGCAUGCCUGUCCGAGCGUCAUUUCUGCCCUCAAGCACGGCUUGUGUGUUGGGUGUGGUCCCCCCCUGACCUUUAAGGGGGGACCUGCCCGAAAGGCAGCGGCGACGCCCCGUCUAGGUCCUCGAGCGUAUGGGGCUCUGUCACCCGCUCGGGAGGGGCCUGCGGGCGUUGGUCACCCAUGUUUUUUACCUU
rnacentral:misc_RNA from 1 species